AAACUACUGAAAGUAAGUAAAAUAUGUGUGUGGUGGUAGUAAUGUACUGAAGGAAAGUAAGGUACUGUUGAAAAGUAAGUUAAACAUGUAGAUUAUGAGUAGUUCCUCUUUCGCUAAUAGUUCAUUGAACAAAACUGUAAAUAAACAGUGAGGGAAAAAUGGCUGUGUGAAAUCCUGAGGGUGUGAAGUGUGGGAAAGGAGAGACUACCAACUAAGCCAGGGAGUUUGAAUUAUGCAUUGCUCUCACAACACAAAAAUAUAAUUGGCUUAUGUUAGGUGCCUUGUUGUCAACAUUCAAGAUACAUUUGAUGUCCUGCAGUUAUGUCUAUCUUGCUUUGAAUUGUCUCGCAGGCUGUGAUGUUCUUGCAAUUCUGCCAAUAGGCUAUGGAAAGAUUUAAAUUUAUUGAGAGUCUUGUUUGACAAAGCUCUCUGCCUUGAACCCAAAUGAGGUUGUGUUAGUGAUUUUGCCACUCAGCAGCAUCGUCAAAGAAUAAUUCAUUGAAUAUGAAUUGUCAACUCUCUGGCUUUGUUGGAAGUCCCUACUUUUGCACGCUUCUCGCCCCCAGGAUUUUGCACGGCAAUUUCUCUUGAAGUUUCCUUUCGUGUCAUGCCCAACAAACUGAGCGAAAGAGGGACUACUUGUAGCCUUUAGAAUAUGUGUCAUACUAACGUACUAAAGUUCUGAAGGAGAGUAAAUUAAAUAUGUGGUUGUACCAAUAACGUACGUAAUUUUACUAACGUACUGAAAGAGAAUUAGUAAAAGAUGCAGUCAUACUAGCGUACUGAAAGAAAGUUGUUAAAAUAUGCAGUCGUGGCAAUGUACUAAUGUAUUGAAGGAAAAUAAGUUAGUAAAAUAUGUGGUCAUGUACAGUGUACAUGUAUCAAAGGAUAGAAGGUAAAAUAUGCUCUCUUACUAACUUACUGAAGGAAAGUUAGUAAAAUAUGCAGUUGUACUAAUGUAACCUGAUUACAGCGUCCGCUUUGACAAUGUGGAGAAUUGCGACACUUAACUACCAUGCCUGUUUCAUUUGAAGUCACCAAACACAAUGGUCAUUGUAUCACAGGGCAAGCAUAAUUUGGAGUCAGUUUAUGAGGGAAACGUGAACCAGAAGUGUGUCAACCCUUAAAAUAAUACAGUAUUGUGUAAAAGUAAUGCAAGCGAAAUGCGCAAAUUUCGUUCUUUGAUCCCGCAAUUAUUAGACAAAAGUUUGCUGGAAAGUUUGAUUGAAAUUUUACUGCCUGUCAAGUGAUAAUUCACUAUAACAAAGGACCAUAUUUCUUUGAAUUAUCAAUAAGUUAACGAAAAUUCGCGAGCACUAAGGAUAAUUUACCAGCCUAUACACAAAAUUUCAUAGGACACUGAACAGCAGUUCGCCAGCAUUCACACAAUUUUCUUUUCGCGACUGAACCAUGUACAAAAAAACUGUCAUGUAACUUACACAAGAUAAAUUUUGAUACAUGUAUUUGUAAAUUUGUUCAAGAGAACACGGUAUGCAGUCAUUGACUGCCUUAUAAGAUGAUAACAUACAGUGUUAUGCAUUACUUGAAUCUCACAUGCCUAAAAUUUGCAAAAGGUUUUUAAGCAGGUUCAUUCUCUUGAGUUCAGUUUCAUACGCAGAAAAUUAGAACGUACUUACCUUAUUAUGAAGACAGCGAGCUCAGUUUGUUUCCCAAACAAAACAAAAACAUCUCCAGUUCUGGCUGUUUAAACUGCUUAAGCAAACAGCGACAAACAACUUGAACGAAGUGCAAAUCAACAAAAGCAAUUACGCAACGAUGCUUUUCAUGUCAAAACAAGUCAGUCUGUCAAAAAUUUGCGCGAUCCUGCAAAAAAUAAAAAUUGGCCCAAAAUGCUAUAUACACCCUUUUUGCACGAAAGUCUUCAAUUAGUAAACAGACGCUUAGCCAAAUAGGUAUCUAUUAAUUUUGUUGAAUUGAUAUCAUUUUUAUUAUUUUUGUAGCGACUGGCAGAGGAUUUAGAGUAUGCUGAUAUUCUAAACAGAGCCUCAUUUUGUAAAAAUUCUUUGGUCCAACUUGCUCAUGUGGCAGCAUUUGCUUGUUCAACUUAUUCAACUGUGCUUGGAAGGUUCUGGAAACCUUUCAACCCACUGUUAGGAGAAACAUUUGAGUUUAUUAAUCAUGAUGUUGGAUAUGCCCUCAUAGCAGAACAGGCAAGUAAAACAUACCAAAAACAAUGUCACAAGUUAAAUUUACUGCACUUUCGUACUUCUCUCACUCUGGCAUCCAGCUGUAAGCCUUAAGGGAAGUUUGGAAACAAAUCAAUCUUUUGCAAAUUUCAUUCAAAGUAGGAUUGACAAUAAAACUAAAUCUAUAAAUUAAAAAUCAUCUCAGUUUUGUUUGAGAUUGCUUUCUGUGAUAAAUGUACACUGAUCAGAUGCAUGUUGGUGUAAAACUCGAUCUCUCAUUUUCAGCAAUGCUAUGGCUUUCAAUACAUGUAUUAAAGAUAUAAAAUAUCCCUGAUUUUCAGAUUAGUCUAUCAGCUGAGGUGGUUGUAUGGCUCACUUAUGGGGAACAAAUGAAAGUUGUAUGUUCCUAAUCCUUGACUAUUAAGUAUCGUUAAAAUGCAUGAUAGCAAGGAUAGAACGGUAGCUUUCACUUUGUAGAUGGAAUUUUAAAUUUACCCCCAAUACCCUCCUUUUGGUUGCCAUCUUGGAAUUCUAAAAAAAAAGCAUUAAAAAGUGUUAUUUUCCUAUAUUUCUUUUCUUAGAGGCACAUGAUAUUUUGCCUGGACGUGUAUUUGGAGUAAUUAGUAUCUUAGACACUAUUUCAAUAUUGUCUGUGGUUGUUCAAGCUAUGAUGACGUCAUAAAUUACGUUACAGUGGCCGCCAUUUUUUUUUUUCAGUUUGUGUAUUCAACCUCUAUUUUAAACCAUCUGAAGUAACUAAAUUACCAAUAAGGUGCUCCACAUCACAGUACUAGAAAAACACCUUUUCUACAUUAAGUUAAUUAAGCACACUAUGCCAUGAACCGAUAUACCAUAACUCAAUGUAUACACAUGUAACUAGGUUCACACUUCAAUUUAGAGCUCGGUUGAGUACAGAAGCGCCCCGAUCGUAUAAUGCCCUUUGUCACUGCUGUCACUUGCAUUUGGAUCUAUAGCUUCUCAAACUCACAAACAAUUCAUCAAGCCUAAAUACGGUAAAUUAUGACCGUGACGUUGUUUGGAUAUCUGAUUGUUUUAGCAGAUAUUUCUACGAGUUUAUUUUUCUGUUUCUUCUUAGUUUUAGUUCCAAUCGAGAAGUUCUAUAAAACACUCAAGAAUCUGUUUGAGCACCUUUCCAAACACCUCAAAAAUUGUCAAAAAUACUCGGCUACUGGCGUUGUAUUUCAACUGUCUUCUCUGUGGUGACGGCUCCCCCUCCAGAUUGCUGCUUGAUAAUUUGCUCUUGUAAUGCGACUUCAUAGAGAUGGCAUAGCUGCAAAGCCUCUGGCGUAGUGGACUUCAUAGCGCAGUGCAUCGAUACUCUGGCACUCCUUCCCUUACAGCUGUCACACGAGUGCCUCCUCCAGUAUCUCUUCGGAUACUGUUCACUCCUUCCCAAUUCUCGCCACACCUGUAUUGGAGAAUUAGAAGCUGAACUGCUUCCCGGAGAGUGUCAACCUGUGAUCGUGUGUACGCCAAUUAGGACUUUCAUGAAGUAGUGCUUGUCAAUGCAGCCGUUGAUAACUAAAGAAAUUUCAUCAUUCUGGUCUUUCCACCUCUUCCAUUCUUCAUGUAGCACAUUCGAAGGUUUUGGCUUUGAGCAAGUAGUAGGACAAAGAUAUCAGUGUCAGAGUGGAUGACGCACCUGCCUCCCACGCACCAAGCAUGGAGAACCAUACUCAUAUUGGCCUCUUUGUGAUUACACCCUAUCUCAGGAGCUGGUUUGCAUGUGGCUGCGUCUCUAGCACUGAUCUUCGGUACUCACGUACAUGAUCCGAUCACUGAGCCUACCUCAGAAUGCUUCUUUCUUCCACUGUGACACGAGGGAAUUGGCAAUGUCAGGCUUGUUUGUGGUGACACUGAAAAACUUGUUCCCUGACUUUGCAGUUUUAGGUUACAAGUAGCCCCCCUUUUGCUUAGUCCGUCGAGCGAGGCCGUAGACCGUAGACCAUAAAUAAACUGUGAGGAAAAAUGGCCGCGUAAAAAUGGCGUCCCCAGGAGUUUGCACGGCCAUUUUUUCUCACGGUUUUCUCUUGCAUCACACACCACGGACUAAGCGAAAGAGGGACUACUCGUAGUCUAUCGCAGUAUAGGCAGGAAGUAUGUUCUUGUACUGUUCACCGUCAGAGGUAGACACUCCUUAAAAUCUUUCAACAUUUUUGAUCGACACCUCGUGAUACAUGUUGAACACUAUGUCCACGUACCUUUUGCCGGUGCCCAUUACCAACUCAAACACUCUCUUAGCGACCACAUGAGACAUACCUCCAGAGGGCGCGAUAUUCAACUUCUGCAAGACCACCAUUCCAGGUAUACUGAAAACACUGGUUGUAUUCUCGGAAAUUUCUUGGUAACUGUGAUGCAUCACUCUAGCUGUUAGGAGAGUUUGGCUUUGCGCAGUUGUUUUUCACGGGAGUCCACAAGGAUGGGAAAGAGACCAAGGAAGUGGAAGAAACUA
rnacentral:lncRNA from 1 species